AUGCCCGUGGCCCCGCCUUCCUGUGACUCCACCGCGCCGUUCUCUGCUAGCCUCCUCCCCGUGCUGACGAACUCCUGCCUGAGCCGCUCUCUCCGACCAACUCUUCUGCUGACGCCGCCCGGACCUACUUGCGUCCGCCCGAGUCCCCUUAUGCACUAUACAAGCCAAGCUCAGCCAUCCCAUCGAGCUCCUACACAAGCUGCCCGAGACCUUGGCCAGAACCGCAAGUCGUUGCCUCUUUGCACCUGCGAUGUGUUGUCGUGGACGCAUGCAACCCUGGAAUCAAUCCCAAGCCCCAAGUACCACGAUACUACGAAGACCGGAUCGACAAGUACCAUGACGUCCGUCGGUCAUCAAGUACCCUCGGAUACGUCAAGUUCAUCUACCAUCGCAAGAAUCGAGACCGGCAAGUUCGAAGACCCCAAGUACCUCUUCGGAACGACCGAGUACCAUUACCGUCGGACGCUCGAACGACUACAGGCCGAAAUGUCAAGUUCCUCGAUGAACCGUGUACGACUACCGUUUCUCGUGGAUUCACCUAAGUACCAUGAAAUGGACGACCCUACAAGUUCAACUACAGUUGCCGUGUACGACUACCGUCGCCUCGGAGCUCUUGGGUUCAUCAAGUUCCUCUUCGGAAAAGUACCACUACUUCCACGACGAUACGAGAACAACUACCCUCGUUGA
rnacentral:rRNA from 1 species